ensembl:snRNA U1 U1 spliceosomal RNA
AUACUUAACUGGCAGGGAAGAUACCAUGAUAUUGAAGGUGGUUUUCCCAGGGUGAGACUUAUCCAUUGUCCUCUGGAUGUGCUGACUUCUGUGAUUUCCCAAAUGUGAAAAACUUGACUGCAUAAUUUGUAGCAGUAGGGGACUGUGUUUGCACCUUCUCCUU